rnacentral:rRNA from 1 species
CCUACGGGAGGCAGCAGUGAGGAAUAUUGGUCAAUGGACGCGAGCCUGAACCAGCCAAGUAGCGUGAAGGAUGACUGCCCUACGGGUUGUAAACUUCUUUUAUAAAGGAAUAAAGUGAGGCACGUGUGCCUUUUUGUAUGUACUUUAUGAAUAAGGAUCGGCUAACUCCGUGCCAGCAGCCGCGGUAAUACGGAGGAUUCGAGCGUUAUCCGGAUUUAUUGGGUUUAAAGGGAGCGUAGAUGGGUUGUUAUGUCAGUGGUGAAAGUUUGCGGCUCAACCUUAAAAUUGCAAUUGAUACUGGCAGUCUUGAGUACAGUUGAGGUAGGCGGAAUUCGUGGUGUAGCGGUGAAAUGCUUAGAGAUCACGAAGAACUCCGAUUGCGAAGGCAGCUUACUAAGCUGCCACUGACAUUGAUGCUCGAAAGUGUGGGUAGCAAACAGGAUUAGAUACCCCAGUAGUC